UACGUAGGGGGCUAGCGUUGUCCGGAAUCAUUGGGCGUAAAGAGCGUGUAGGCGGCCCGGUAAGUCCGCUGUGAAAGUCGGGGGCUCAACCCUCGAAUGCCGGUGGAUACUGUCGGGCUAGAGUGCGGAAGAGGCGAGUGGAAUUCCUGGUGUAGCGGUGAAAUGCGUAGAUAUCGAGAGGAACACCUGCGGCGAAGGCGGGUAGCUGGGCCGACACUGACGCUGAGGCGCGAAAGCAUGGGGAGCGAACAGG
rnacentral:rRNA from 1 species